rnacentral:rRNA from 1 species
GGACUACCCGGGUAUCUAAUCCUGUUUGCUCCCCACGCUUUCGAGCCUCAGCGUCAGUAAUGGGCCAGUUAGCCGCCUUCGCCACUGGUGUUCUUCCGAAUAUCUACGAAUUUCACCUCUACACUCGGAGUUCCGCUAACCUCUCCCAUACUCAAGAUAGCCAGUAUCAAAGGCAAUUCCAAGGUUGAGCCCUGGGCUUUCACCUCUGACUUAACUAUCCGCCUACGCUCCCUUUACGCCCAGUAAUUCCGAGCAACGCUAGCCCCCUUCGUAUUACCGCGGCUGCUGGCAC